rnacentral:rRNA from 1 species
GAUGAACGCUGGCGGCGUGCCUAAUACAUGCAAGUAGAACGCUGAAGGAGGAGCUUGCUCUUCUGGAUGAGUUGCGAACGGGUGAGUAACGCGUAUGUAACCUGCCUGGUAGCGGGGGAUAACUAUUUGAAACUAUAGCUAAUACCGCAUGACAACAGUUAUUGCAUGAUAUCUGUUUAAAAUCGGCAACUGCUCCCCUACCAAAUGGACCUGCGUUGUAUUAGCUAGCUGGUGAGGUAACGGCUCACCAAGGCGACGAUACAUAGCCGACCUGAGAGGGUGAUCGACCAAACUGGGACUGAGACACGGCCCAGACUCCUACGGGAGGCAGCAGUAGGGAAUCUUCGGACAUGGACGGAAGUCUGACCGAGAAACGCCGAGUGAGUGGAGAAGGGUUUCGGAUCGGAAAGCUCUGUUGUAAGAGAAGAACGAGUGUGAGAGUGGAAAGUUCACACUGUGACGGUAGCUUACCAGAAAGGGACGGCUAACUACGUG